CACAAAUAUGAAGGCGGGCUGGAACCUCUCGGGGUUACAGCCUUGCUGAAUUACUCACCCUUGUCUUUUGCGUACUUCUUGUUUCCUUGGUGGGUUCGCCCACCACUAGGACAAACAUAAACCUUUUGUAAUUGCAAUCAGCGUCAGUAACAAAUUAAUAAUUA
rnacentral:misc_RNA from 1 species